UACGAAGGGGGCUAGCGUUGUUCGGAAUUACUGGGCGUAAAGCGCACGUAGGCGGACUGUCAAGUCAGGGGUGAAAUCCCGGGGCUCAACCUCGGAACUGCCUUUGAUACUGUCAGUCUAGAGUCCGGAAGAGGUGGGUGGAAUUCCUAGUGUAGAGGUGAAAUUCGCAGAUAUUAGGAAGAACACCGGUGGCGAAGGCGGCCCACUGGUCCGGUACUGACGCUGAGGUGCGAAAGCGUGGGGAGCAAACAGG
rnacentral:rRNA from 1 species